rnacentral:lncRNA from 1 species
CUCAGGAUCCGGGCUUUUCUUUGUUGAUGAUCACCAGCUUUCUCAAUUUCCGGAUGCGCUUGAUUGUGGAUUUCAUCUUCUAAUGCCCACAGUGGCUCUCCUCAUUCCAACAUGGAGAGGACAUCUGGCCCGCUGGCUUGAAACACAAAGCUUCCAGAACCUGAGAAAGAAGAGGCCACUGAUGGGGCACCCUCUGAGUGACAGGGAGCAGCUGUUCUCACCCACUGACACCAGGCCAUUGUAGUUCUCCAGCAUCACAUCCUGGUACAAGUCCUUCUGAGCAGGGCCCAGGAGCUGCCACUCCUCC